GAUGAGCGCUGGCUACAGGCUUAACACAUGCAAGUCGAGGGGAAACGCCGGGGAAGCUUGCUUCCCCGGGCGUCGACCGGCGCACGGGUGAGUAACGCGUAUCCAACCUGCCUCUGACUGAGGGAUAACCCGUCGAAAGUCGGCUUAAUACCUCAUGGCAUCGUCUGCGGGCAUCCAACGACGAGUAAAGAUUUCAUCGGCCAGAGAUGGGGAUGCGUCUGAUUAGCUUGUUGGCGGGGUAACGGCCCACCAAGGCGACGAUCAGUAGGGGUUCUGAGAGGAAGGUCCCCCACAUUGGAACUGGGACACGGUCCAAACUCCUACGGGAGGCAGCAGUGAGGAAUAUUGGUCGAUGGGCGAGAGCCUGAACCCGCCAAGUAGCGUGCAGGAUGACGGCCCUAUGGGUUGUAAACUGCUUUUAUGCGGGGAUAAAGUGAGGGACGUGUCCUUCAUUGCAGGUACCGCAUGAAUAAGGCCCGGCUAAUUCCG
rnacentral:rRNA from 1 species